rnacentral:rRNA from 1 species
GCUGAACUUAAGCAUAUCAAUAAGCGGAGGAAAAGAGACUAACAAGGAUUCCCCUAGUAACGGCGAGUGAAGCGGGAAGAGCUCAAAUUUGUAAUCUGGCGGUCUCAGGCCGUCCGAGUUGUAGUCUGGAGAAGCGUUUUCCGCGUCGGACCGUGUACAAGUCCCUUGGAACAGGGCGUCAUAGAGGGUGAGAAUCCCGUCUUCGACACGGACUGCCGAUGCUUUGUGAUGCGCUCUCGAAGAGUCGAGUUGUUUGGGAAUGCAGCUCAAAACGGGUGGUAAAUUCCAUCUAAAGCUAAAUAUUGGCGAAAGACCGAUAGCGAACAAGUACCGUGAGGGAAAGAUGAAAAGCACUUUGGAAAGAGAGUUAAACAGUACGUGAAAUUGUUGAAAGGGAAACGCUUGAAGUCAGUCGCGUCUUCCGGGACUCAGCCUCGCUCCUGCUUGGUGCAUUUCCCGGACUGACGGGCCAGCAUCGAUUUCGGUCGUCGGAGAAAGGCCGAGGGAAUGUGGCACCCUUCGGGGUGUGUUAUAGCCCUCGCUCGUAUGUGACGCCAGGGAUCUAGGAUCUCACAACACGUCUUUAUGGCGCGGGGUUCGCCCACGUAAACGUGCUUAAGAUGCUGGUGUAAUGGCUUU